AUUGAACGCUGGCGGCAGGCCUAACACAUGCAAGUCGAACGAGUGGCGGACGGGUGAGUAAUGUCUGGGAAACUGCCUGAUGGAGGGGGAUAACUACUGGAAACGGUAGCUAAUACCGCAUACCAUCAGAUGUGCCCAGAUGGGAUUAGCUAGUUGGUGGGGUAACGGCUCACCAAGGCGACGAUCCCUAGAUGGUCUGAGAGGAUGACCAGCAACACUGGAACGGACACAAGGGCCAGACUCCUACGGGAGGCAGCAGUGGGAAAUAUGGCACAAUGGGCGCAAGCCUGAUACAGCCAGGCCGCGUGUAUGAAGACGGCCUUCGGGUUGUAAAGUACUGUCAGCGGGGAGGCGUUACCCUCAGAAGAAGCACCGGCUAACUCCGUGCCAGCAGCCGCGGUAAUAC
rnacentral:rRNA from 1 species